UGGAUCAGCAUGCCACGGUGAAUACGUUCCCGGGUCUUGUACACACCGCCCGUCACACCAUGGGAGCCGGUAAUACCCGAAGUCAGUAGUCUAACCGCAAGGAGGACGCUGCCGAAGGUAGGAUUGGCGACUGGGGUGAAGUCGUAACAAGGUACC
rnacentral:rRNA from 1 species